rnacentral:lncRNA from 1 species
GAAGAGCAGCAUGUCAGGCAAAGGGCUAUUCUUGUUGCAAAGAUAAAUUCAAAUGACAGAUUCACAUUGCAAGGAACUUAUACAAAAAUGAGGGAAUUAUUGAAAGACACAAAUUAAGAGGAUUAUCAUUAUGAUAGGGUUUAAUUAGUUUCACAAUAAAACCUCUAAGAAUAACUAUUUAGUCCUUUACCGCCAAAAGGUUCCAGAAUUUUGAAACCUAGAAUCAACAAAAAACAGUAUAAAAUAUUAAAAAAAAUCGUAAAAGUGUAGACACUUUACACUGUUUAAUAACUGCUGAAGAAUAUAUCAGUUAAGGGUCAUAACUCUUGCCAAUGGACAUUAGUUUGAAGGCACUAAUCUUAUUGAAGGUGCACUAGUAUCUCCUGGAGUGCUGUAAUACCCCUUGUCAGGUUAUGCAUCCCACAAACACGUUAUGUUGUCUCUUUCCAUACUUGUUGCAUUGGCCCUCCUCUCUUGUAUUCAGUCUAAUGAUGAGCAUUACCAUCUAUUGGGAAAAUGUUACCAUCAACAUGACAUACUUAACUUGAACAAUUGACUCUAGCGGUAGUGGACUGAUACAAAUUUAAUUCAACACAUUGAUACAUAAGAACCUCAGUUCAACCAACACUGUUAAUACCCAUUUUUAAACAUUAGAUAGAAGGUUUUGACAUAAUGUUGCACCCGUUGGUCAUUAUUAUCAUGUGUCCUGCGAUUAGUUAAGAAUAUAGUUUUCCUUUUACUUCAGCAUAUGAUAAGCUCAAGUCACAGAAAAUAGAUAGACUAUGCAAACAAUAUGGACAGCAAAAGGAUCAAACUACUAAUGCUACCCAUCAGUACUAAAGAUCAUUUUGUGGUGAAGGAAUAACAAUUAAUUAAAGAAGUUAUGCAAAUAUUCUCCAAGAAAAAUUAAUUCUACAAAACCAACAGUUGUGGAUCCUAAUUAUCAACUUUUGCAUUAGUUGCCUGCAUGAUCUGAGGAACUUUGAGCAAAAAAAAGCUUAAAUCACAAUUAACAUGCUUGUGCUAUGUACUUCAACAUCUUUAUGGAUAAAAACAUGUUAAUAUUAAUGUACCUGGCAAGGAACGAAACUGUCAAUUAUGGGAUUGAAAGAUGCACAUAAGUUGCAGGAUAUCUGGUUCAGAUUGUUCAUUAGAUCGACCUUGAAGAGAAAACGAGCUUGCAUUGAUUCUUCCGUGUCUUCUUUUAACUC